rnacentral:lncRNA from 1 species
CCCCACUGUUCGAUGGAUUACUCACUCAUUAGGAUUAGUAUUUUAUUAUGUGCUUUCUUUUUUUUUCUUCGACAGGUUUAAGGCAUUCUAGCUUGGCAUAGCAAUUGCAUCUUCAAUACUUAUUUUUAGCAGAGGUUGGUCAUAUCAGCUUAUGGGGGGAGUAUUCAUUUUGAUCAGAUCAGUUUGGGGAAGGGUAUCUUUUUCCUUGACCAUGCUAGUUAGUGUAAGGAGCUCAUUUUGGGAGAUUUUUAUUUUUGUGAUGUUGUACUCUAUGUUGGGUUAUGUUUUGGACGAAGUUUGUUUAGGCUAAAAAAAAGUAAGAUUGAAAUGUAUCGUAA